rnacentral:antisense_RNA from 1 species
UUCACAUAUUCUGCAUAUGCACCAGGGUGUCUAGCACCUAUAACAGUGAGUUCUUCACAGCGUGAUAGUUCACCUUUUUGACAGCUUGCGCAUCUACCACAAUAAAAAGUUGGACA